ensembl:lncRNA
GAUGAAGAAAAGCACUUAGAGACAGAGCAGGAGACGAGAAAGCAGCACUGCAGAAGAGCUCUUCAGCAUCAUCAGCUCUGCUGUGGACACAGGAUCCGCUGCUUCCUUAUUAGGCAGAACAGAAACAUGAGUGUCCGUUAGGCUCCCCAAAACAUGUUCAAGCAGAAGCCACUCGAACAGGUCCAAAACACACCCAGGAUUAUGGGACAAAGGAGGACAUUGCCAGCAUCUCAGAUGGCUGUUAGGAUACCCAUUCCCAUGGUAUAAUAAGAAGAGAGCUGAAAGCUGAGUCUAUGUCUCUUAUCAAUUGAAAGUGUGAAAAGGAUGUGCACCAAAGUCCUCUAAAUGGAUAUUCAUGACUGAAGAUAUUUGCUUUUGACUUUUGUGUGGCGUAAGGAUGAAAUUAAAUGCUUUGUUGAGACCCCGUGACCUCUGACCUGCCUUCUUUAGACGAGACACCGCUGAAACACACGCAACCGCAGCUUCCCUCUUUCUAGCUUUCUCACUGUCUUUUGUCCCAUGUUAUUGUCAUCAUUCCCUACAGGCAAGGGUUCGCCCGGAAGCCAAAUUAAACACACGCUAAUGCUUUCUGUGUGUGUUAUUCACACUCCGAAAGGAUCAUUCAGUGUCUCCGCUGUGAGCUGCCAUUUCUCUCUUCGUAUAUUAACACGUUAGACUGUUGGAAGUGUCAGAAGAUAAGUUUAAUGUGUAUGUACUAAUUUGUCUGACAUUAUUAUGACAUUAUUAUUCGAUAGCUUCUAGAUGUGAGACUGUAAAUGUGACAUUUAUUUCAAAGUUAGUAGAUAAUGAGCUUAGUUCCUAUCAUGCAAAAACAAAAUACAAAGAGCUGUGUGUAUGCGUGUGAAAGUCAGUACUCUGGUAGUCAGUGUGUCUGUGUCACUAGCCUAUAGGCAUUUCUACAGAUGAGAUUGUGGGUGUGUUUGCAGGAUGUAGUUCACUGAUUGUAGGGAAAAUUGCUGCUGUAGUUGUAUUAUAUGGGUGACGAGGAGAUACGAGGAUCGGUACCACGUUGUGCAUAGCUCUGGGUGUGGUUCGCUGGGAUUAAUCAUUUAACGCAUAAGGCAAUAAUGGGUUGUGCGAUAUGCACCCAGUUAAUUGACAUAUGCGGCAUGACGGCUUCACAAACUGGACCGAGAGCCAUGGAAAUGUCCGGCUUUCCAGAAAUCCCUCAGCAGGACUACCACAGACUGUCCGGUUUACACUACACCUCUUCUUUCUCUGAUGCAGAGGACUGCUGUGAUGAAACGACAAGUACAAGCUCUUCCUCAGAUUACCUUGGCAUGGACGAUUGACAACAUAUUUGUUUUUAUUGCUGAUGUUCAGUUGCCUUCGUUAAGCCUUUGUUCAACCUAGGGAAAGUGCACUGAAGAGCAUUAUGGUGUCUUGGCACCUGGUCUUAAAUCCCCAUGCCUUUGUGGUGUGACCAAUAUUUGAAGUUCUUGGUCCAUGUCUCACACACUAUGCACUAUAUUCUAACACCCUUAGACUAUGUACUUGGCCUUUAAGGACGUGAAUGUCUUAAAUUUGCACUAAAAAUAAAUGCCAUUACUGCCCAGUACCUCAAUGAACAGCACCAGAACAGCCCCCAUAAGAUCAACCCCCAGUUUUAAAAUCUAAAAUGACUGCCCUAAAUUUUUUGUUACCAAUUUGAAUCUACAGAGUAGCAGCUGAAUCUGAUUCUUUCUGCUACAUAGAGCAGACUAUGACCAGCAAGUGCUGAAAAUAUCCAACUUUGCACACAUCAUUUUUCAUUUCUUUAAUAUAACAUAUGGAUGUUAAUAGUGCAGCACAUCUCCCAGCAUGAGGUUAUUGAAUUCAUUUUGAGUCCAAAUAUUAUCAAAGCUCCAAAAAACUACAAGAACAGCAAACAAUAUUAUCCACAUCUUAAAAGGAAAAGAAAAAGUUGCUAUUACAAAAUAAUAAUAAUAAAUUUGAAUUAUAGUAAAACUUCAUUUUCAAAUAUAGUUUAUUUAGGUUCCUGGUGUUUAUUUUACGGUUACUAAUAAUAUUUUGUGCUUUUAUUGGUUGAUAUCACAAAGUAAUGGGCCUUAAUACUUUGCCAGCUGACUGGUGAGUAAUUCUACAUGUGUUUAAUGGUUUUCUAAUGAGAGUUAAAGGUCCUACAGGGAUCUGGCAGUCACUGCUGGAGACCUUGUGGUCAUAGCACUUGCAAAUAUUCAAUUAAGACAAAACAUUUCAAAGUUAUUAAACACAGACUAGAUUCUGGAUCUAUAACUGAAUCAAGAAUGACUAAACUCUUGGAAACCAUUGAAUCCAUUAGGUCCUAUGUGAAUUUGUUUGAUGGAAACCACAGAUCAAUUCCCAGUGGAGGGAAACAAUAUCUAAAAUAUUUCAGUUUUGAAUAAAGUCUGGUCUUGUUCAUGUACAACUUCUAACUCUUCUCCUACACUACACUACACACUACAGUACACUACACUACACAAUAAUACACUACACUACACUACAAAACACUACACUAUAAUACACUACAAUAUAAUACAACACACUACACUACACACUACAAUACACUACACUAGACACUACGAUACACUAUACACAACAGUACACUACAAAACAAUACAAUACACCAUUAUAAUACAUUACAAUACACUAUAAUGCACUUGUCUACAAUACAUUACACUACACACAUUACAAUAAACACUACACACUGCACUACACUACAGUACACCCUACACUACACACUACAUUACAAUACACACUACACUAAACACUGCAAUACACUACAAUACACACUGCACUAAACUCUACACACUACAUUACACACUACACUACACACUACAUUAGACAUUACACUAAACACUACCCACUGCACUACACAUUACACUACACUAUACACUACACACUGCACUAUACACUUCACUACACUACACUAAACACUACCCACUGCACUACACACUACACUAUAAUACACACUACAUUACACUACGCACUACAUCACACACUACAUUAGACACUACACUAAACGCUACACACUGCACUACACACUACACUAUAAUACACACUACAUUACACUACGCACUACAUAACACACUACAUUAGACACUACACUAAAUGCUACACACUGCACUACACUACAAUACAUACUGCACUACACUAAACACUACCCACUGCACUACACACUACACUACACACUACAUUACAAUACACACUACACUACACUAUACUACAAUAUACACUACACUACACUACAAUACACACUACACUAUACUACAAUAUACACUACACUACAAUACACACUACACUAUACUACAGUACACACUACACUAAACACUACACUACAAUACACACUACACUAAACACUACACUACAAUACACUAGACAUUACACUACACACUACAAUACACACUGCAUUACACACUACACUACACACUGCACACUACAUUACACUACACAAUUUUGUGAACUUUUUUGUUCGCACCCUGUUGUAUCAAGAAGAUUAACUAGCAAUAAUGUACAAUAAUUCUGUUCAGGCCUUAAGGCCAUAAUAUUUUCCUGAUAAAAAUGACUUUCAUAGGCAUAAUUACAUUUAAUUAUGUUCAUCAGACACUGUCUGGUAAAACAUAAAAUCAAGGAAACAAAUAAAAAAUAAUACAGCAUGAUGAACUAUUGUAUAACCAAUUUU